GGCUUUAUAUUUGCAGCAGCACUACUAAAGUUGGCAGGAAUGUUGCUGCAGGAAAACAUCCCUGGAGAUCACCAUCAUUGUCAGACUGACUGUGCCUCCUCUGUGCAGUGUCAAGAUCCUCCCUAAAUGAGUGUUCCUCAGCUAUCCUGCUUCUGUGCUGCUUGCCACACAUCAAACACUGGCCG